GAUGAACGCUGGCGGCGUGCUUAAUACAUGCAAGUCGAACGAAGACAGUAGCAAUAUUGUCUGAGUGGCGAACGGGUGAGUAGCGCGUUGGUGACCUGCCCCGAAGAGAGGGAUAACAGUCCGAAAGGAUUGCUAAUACCCCAGGUGGUGGUUGGGAUUAGAUCCCUUAUGACUAAACGGAUUUAUUCGUUUCGGGAGGGGCCUGCGUCCCAUCAGCUAGUUGGUAGGGUAAUGGCCUACCAAGGCGAUGACGGGUAGGGGACCUGAGAGGGUGGCCCCCCACAAUGGAACUGAAACACGGUCCAUACACCUACGGGUGGCAGCAGUAGGGAAUAUUGGUUAAUCUGGGAAACCGGGAACCAGCAACGCCGCGUGCACGAUGAAGACCUUCGGGUUGUAAAGUGCUUUUUGAAAGGAUGAGGAAGGACAGUACUUUCAGAAUAAGCUUCGGCUAACUACGUGCCAGCCGCCGCGGUAAAAC
rnacentral:rRNA from 1 species